UGUGUCUCAGUUCUUGCAACCAGCUGUUGAACUCAAAGACAACAGAAAAUGAUUUCAUCAUCCUGGCACACUGGUGACCACAUUGGAAAAGGCCAGGAGAUCCAUGCUGUCAUUGUCAGGAAGGGGUAAAAACAUAGUGGAAGAUAUUAAAAACUAAAAGAGAAUGCCGAGGUAGAGAAUCCCCCAAAGCAGCAGCCAUCUUGCUAGGUGCUGGAAAUAAAAACACAACAAACCAAGCAAUCCAUGACCUCAAGGAGUUUGUAUUCAAUUUGGAAUAAACAGCACAUUCACAAUUAGUAUAUUUAUCCUCGUGCACGCUCACCUGCACAAAUGAUCCGGUCGAAUCUGCACUCAAUGACCAGGAUUUCACAUCCCUAGAAGAUGGGCAGUUGGAGUCCCUAUCUGAAGAAGAAAAGGCAUCCUUUCCUUCUCCGAGAGCUAAUUCAUUAUUCCCAAAAUCAGAUCUAGAGUUGGAAGAAAGCUCAAGAACACAACCUUUUUCUUUAUAUUAUCCUGUGGUCUAUAUUCACAU